AGGUUGAGUGUAAGGCUGCGUAACAAGCAGAACUCGGCCUCGUGAUGUGAGCUUUACUUCAGUGUUGAUCAAGUUCUUGAGAUGUCCCCUUUCAACAGUGAGGUACUUACCCUGGAUUUGCCCUGGUUCUCGGUUCCGGUAUAGGGGUGUGAUCCUAGCACCACUGCUUAUUUGCUUUCUACGCAAAAAAAUAAGAGUUAUUGAGGAGCCAACUUUUUAGGAGACACGAUGAGAAAAGGAAUAGCUUAACCCCCACCACCUAAUUUCCUAUGCAGACAAUGGAGUAUUCUGUCUCGCCUCACAUUUUAUUGUUCAUCACAUAAAGGGAAAUGUUUAGAUUCAUUUUGGGGGUGUAGGUGUUUGUGUGUACUAUGUGCACCAUGUAUUUUAUGUAUAGUGUGAGUGUAGUGUAGUGUAGUGUAGUGUAUGUGCACAAUAUGUGUGUUUUGUGUUAAGUGCGUGUAUUUUGUGA